rnacentral:rRNA from 1 species
UGUAGCUGGCUUCUCGG